AAAAUAAUAAAAAUACUAAAGGUUUUAUAAAAGAAAGUGAUGCCUGAGGGCUCAGCUUGAUUUUUUAAACUCGAUUUAGUCAUUUUGUAACACCCACUGAGUUCACUAAAGAAUGUGCUCCCGAGCAAAGGGAAGGAAGUGGUUGUCUCAACUGAGAAAAAAAACAAUGAUGAUGCGAAUGCAGAAGAAAAUAAGAUGUGUCGACGAAAAUAAUCCAUAACCAAUCUAUAAACAAAAAUUGGGGUGAGUUUAUUAUGAACCAGAUCUGAGGACUAGCUUAGCACAGGGCCUUUCUUCCCCAGGGAAGGAAGGGCACCAAAGGCGUGGGAGUGUACAGAGUGGUUAUAUACCACCAAAGAGCGUGUAUCACAUAUGAUUGAAAUGUCCUUUUUACAAUAGUCACAAGAUUGCUCUGUGUGCACAGCAAUUGAUGGACACAGCAGGUAGCAGGUCUAUUGUCUCCAGCUGGGUGGUCACAGGGUGAGCGCAGCAAUCAAUUCUUAGCCUAGGGAGAGAGGCUAAUCCUUAAGGAAAUGCCAAUGUGGGGGAAGUUGCAUCUUUAUCUUAAGGCCAUUUGUUCUUGUCUUUGGGACAGGGCAAAUGCUUGAAGCAGAUAUACAAUGCAUACUCCAUGGCCACAUCAGACCCUUUUGGAAAAACAAGGUCAGGCCGAAUUAGGUUUACACCAAAUGGCUUCCUCAUAUACUCCAAUAUAUCCUACUGCUUGUCGUUUGUUUAUCGAUGAGGUCAGAACAAACACAAAUUCCAACAAAACUUUCCUCUGGCUUCUCUGAUAAGCACACGGUAAAUGCCACACUAGUCAAAACAGUGGGACUUCUAACUCAGGCUCCUGCCCUGAGCAUGACUGUUCUCACUGACAUGAAUGAGAAAGGAUGGAAAUAGAAACCAGUCAAGGAAGAUUCUGACUUGAGUAAUAUGAAAAAAGUCAAUUCUAGGGGGUUUAAAUAUUUGAUUAUGCAAAAUUACUGAAAGACAAUAAUUUUAUUUUUUCAAGUCAUAGAUAGAUUGGCUACACACAAUUUUAAAUUGUAUAUAUAGGGGCUGGCCCGGUGGCUGAGUGGUUAAGUUCACACACUCUACUUCUGCAGCCCAGGGUUUCACCAGUUUGGAUCCUGGGCACAGACCUAGGACGACUCAUCAAGCCAUGCUGAGGCAGUGUACCACGUAGCAGAACUAGAAGGACCUACAAAUAGAAUAUACAACUAUGUACUGGGGGACUUUGGGGAGAAAAAGAAGAAAAAGAUUGGCAACAGAUGUCAGCUCAGGGCCAAUCUUUAAAAAACAAAAGAUAAAUAUUAAAAAAAUAAUAAAUUGUAUACACAUCAACAAAAUCCAAAUUAAAGACAAAUGGCAAACUGAAAAAAGUUUUCAUAACAUACAUGACAGACAAUGAAACAUUGACACUAAAAUAUAAAGUGCUCUUAUAAAUAAAUAAGAAAAAAUGAUCAUAGUAAUAGAAGAAAAAGGAAAUAAAUAGGAAAUUCACAAAAGAGAAAAUUAAAAGGGCUAGUAUUUAUUUUUUAAAAGUUAAACCUACUGCUACCCAAAUAAACGCAAAUUAAAGCAAUUAGAUAACAUUGUAUCUAUCAAAUUCACUUAAGAAAAAGAAUUUUUUUAAAAUAUUAAUAACCAGAGCAGACAAUGGUAAAUAUAAAGGCAACAAUAUUUCUGAGAGGCAGGGAGUUGACAAAUUUAUUAAAAGGUUAAAAACGCUGCAUGUUCUGACUCAACAAAUCUGCUUUUAGUAAUAUAUUCUAAUGAAAUAAUUAUGGUUGUGCACAAAAUUUUAUCCGUAAAAAUGUUGAAAAUGGGCCGGCCCGGUGGUGCAGUGGUUAAGUGCACAUGUUCUGCUUUGGCGGCCAGGGGUUCGCCAGUUUGGAUCCCAGGUGCGGACAUGGCACUGCUUGGCAAGCCAUGCUGUGGUAGGCGUCCCACAUAUAAAGUAGAGGAAGAUGGGCACGGAUGUUAGCUUAAGACCAGUCUCCCUCAGCAAAAAGAGGAGGAUUGGCAGCAGAUGUUAGAUCAACGCUAACCUUCCUUUAAAAAAUAAUGUUGAAAAUGACAAUAUUUGCAAUGUAAAAACUGGGAAACAAGUGCCCCAGAAUCGAAGAUUUCUAUGUUACAUUCAUACACCAAAACUGUAUGCAACCAUCAAAAGUGGUAUUGUGGAAGAUUAUUUCAUAACAUAGCAGUAUGUUAAUAAUUGAUUAUUAAGCUUUAGAAAAGCUAGGAAACAGUAUGGAUAGCAUUAAAGGAAGGAAAGAAGGAAGGGAGGGAGGGAGGGGAAGUGGGGGACAGGGAAGAAGGAAGAGAGGAAGGUAAGAAAAACACCAAUAUAUUAAUACUAGCUUACUCUGGUUAGGCGAAAUUUGGGUAAUUUUUUUCCAGCUUUAUUGAAAUAUGACUGAUAGAUAACACUGUGUAAGUUUAAGGUGUACAAUGUGAUGAUUUGAUACACAUAUAUAUUGUGAAAUGAUUACCACAAAAAGGUUAGUUAACACAUCCAUCACCUCACAUAGUUACCCUUCUGUGUGUGUGUGAUGGGAACAGUUAAGAUUCACUCUCUUAGCUACUUUCAAGGAUACAAGACCACAUUAUUAACUAUAGUCACCAUGCUGCACAUUAGAUCCCCAGAACUUAUUCAUUUAUACCUGAAAGUUUGUACCCUUUGACCAACAUGUCCUCAUUUACCCCGCCCUCCAGCCCCCAGCAACCACCAAUCGGCAGUUUCUACGAGUUCAACUUUUUUAGAUUCCAUAUGUAAGUGAGAUCAUACGGUAUUUGUCUUUCUCUGCCGUAUUUAUUUCACUUAGCAUAAUGUCCUCAAGGUCCACCCAUGUUGUCACAAAGGGCAGGAUUUCCUUCUUUUUUACGGCUCAAUAAUAUUCCAUUGUGUACAGGCAUAUAUAAGGUAAUUAUUUUUUAUUUUGUUUUGCUUUUUAAUAUAUCUGUAUUUAUUACAAUGUAUAUAUAUAACUAUAUAAUUUUGAAACUAUUUUUAAAGGAAACAUAUAUAUUGUCCAAAUAUUCCAAACAAUUAAAAAAUCACGGAGAAAAAGAAUAACUGGUUAGAGUCUAUAAAAGAUAGACCACUCACUGAUAAAUGUCUACAGGAAAACUGUAAACAUGUUUUGUGAAAAAAUUGGACUGUAAUAUAAUAAUAAUUAGUAGCAAAUAUUUUACUAUGAGUAAAGUGAUUUCAAACUAACUUCACUGCUUUUAUAGAUAGAACUGCUCAGUUGGUGAUUCUAAAAAAUGCUAUAGACACUGUGUAAGUAGAUUUCUGCAAAGCAUUUGGUGGAUAAGAUGGUGAAAGUAAACCUGUGUGGAUUAUAAAUUUGUUGACAAUUCAAAUGCUCAAGAUAUUUAAGACACAAUUGUGCCACCAUGGAAGGAGUUUCCUCAUGGAGUGCAACAGAGUGUGGUUAGUGGUCUGUCUUAAAUAUUUUUACUCAAAAAUAAGAUGAUGACACAAUUUUCAAGUUUAUGGAGGCCUCAAGCUGAAGGGUAGAAGAAAAAACGAAAGAUUCAAGACCCAAAAGUAUCUCGCCAAGUUGGAAUGCAGGGUCAGAACCAGCCCAGGAGACUGGGUAGGAAAAAUAGUGUGCUUCUUGAGUAUCUGCUUGGAACGAUUUGUAAAAGCUGUUGGAGUACUGCGUUGAGAGGAAUUCUAAAGACACACGAGGCUCUGGGAGAAGAGUGUUGAAAUCAGUCAACAACAUCUAGUGGUUACCUCCAUACGGCACAGUGUAUGGCUGCGAUAUCUUGAAGUUAGGGAUUUAUUUAUUCAUUGAUUUAUUUAGUAACAAUUUAUACAGGUUUCCUAUGUGCUUGGGGGGAAAGAGUGCUGAAAUCAGUCCACAAUGUCUGGAGUUGUAAAGUUGUGAUCAUACAGUAAACUGAUAACCUGAAGGUGAUGGAAGAGAUUUGUUUAUUUAUUGACUCAUUUGUUUACCAACUACUCAUAUAGAGUUUCCUAUGUGCUAAGCGUCAUUCUAAGGGCUUCAAAAACAUUAAAUCAUUUGAUUCUCAUAACAAUCAUAUGAUACAAGGUACUAUUAUUUUUCUCUCUCUACAAAGGACAGAUUAGGUAACUUGCCCCAGGGAUUCAAGCCCGGGAAAUCUGUUUCCAGAGUGGGUGUCCCUAACCACCUCUCUAUUAUGCACAACAUAUGGACCAUUAUUAUACACAUAAUAAAUUUUAAUUUAUUUAAAGAUAUAUUUUAAAUUCUACGGUUAGGACCAGAAAAUAUAACAUGUUAUAUAAUUAUAGAAUGGAACAGACAGAUUCAUAUAAAAAAGUUAGUUUGGGAUUUCUUUCAAGUCCAAGAAUAAUAAUGUAGAAGCUAAGAAAACAAAUACACUUCCAGCUUUCAUUAAUAGGAAAAAAAUAAGGGAGAAAAAUGAAAGGAAAAAGAACUAGAAUUUUUUGAUUGCCUACGGGGUGCUAAGUAUUUUAUAUAAUCUCUUACUUACUCUUGAUCACACCUCUUGGAGGUAGGUAUUUGUGGUAGAUUGGCUGCAUUAUUGGCUUCAAUGGCUUCCCAUUGCAAUGUGACCUUGUAACUCCCCUACUUCCCCCAUCAAGAGACGGAAUCUUUACCCUUUGAAUUGCGCCUGGAUUUGCUUUGGUCAAAAGAAUGCAACAGAAGUAACUUUGCAUGAGUUCUGAAUCCAGGUCUCACAGGCCUGUGUACUUCCACUCUCCCUCUCUUGGUACACUGCUAGUCCCCAUAUGAACACUUGUAGACCAGCCUGCUAGAAGAUGAGAGACCAUUUAAGUCAUCACAGCUGACGUCCUCCUAAAUCGGACCAGCUCCCAGCCAACCUACUGACUCCAGAUACAUAACAGAGUACAGCCAAGAUCAGCCAACCCUCCCUUAGUCUCCUGAGAAAUAAUACAUGGUUAUUGUUUUAAAUCACUAAGUUUUGGGGUAGUUUGUUAACACAGCAAUAACCAUAGGAUACAGCAUGAUAUUUUCUUUUAUAAAUGUAGAAAUUGAAGCUCAGAGAAGUACUUUACCCAAAAUCACCCAGUUUGUAAGUCAAACUAGGAAGUCAAACACAAUCUAUUUCAUUUCAAAGACCAGCCUUCUAACGCUCUACCCCAUGUAUGAGCUCUGCAAUAAACUGGCCACAUGUGAAGUACUAUAGUUAAUUCUACACAACUUAAAAAGAACCCAGAGGAAAGUAAAAAGAAUUGCAUAAAGCCCGUAGACUAAGAAAAACAAGAGAAAGAAAGGUUUGCUUAGGUUGGAGAAGAUAAAACUCAUGAAGGACAUAAAGAGAGGGGUAAAUGAUUUUCUCUUGCUCCUGUCUCAUCUACUCUGAAGAAGCGCCCCAUCACCUCUCUUGAAAAGAUAUAUCUGGCCCCUCAUCUCCAUUAUUAGACUUACAUGUUGAACUCUCAGUCUUCAAGGUCUUUAUCACACGAGGGUCUUCUUGACCAUUAUAGGCUCACCUUGAGCUUCUAGAUAGCCUCUCCCAACACCGUCUCUGCCUCUGAUCACACUGUCUUCUGCAUGAUGUUUUCUUACAUUCCUUUCCAGGUAACAUGCCUACCAGCUUGACUGGGCCUCCAGAAUUUGCCUCUUCCCUCUGCGAUGCCAUAAUAAGGAAGUUUCUCCAUUCCACAACCACACAUAUUAUCUUACCUGGCCUUGCUCCAGAGAUCAAUAGCUAAAACUAAAAGAUUUUAAUCAGAUUCUACCACAAUAAAAAGGAGAUAUGUCUAACAAUUAGAUUUGUCAAAUAAAAGCGUUGGUCAUUCAUAAUAAGAUGAAGACCCAACCCCACUGUUUAUCUUCCACACAUGAGUGAAAUCAUAUGGUGUUUGUCUUUCUUGGUCUGGUUUAUUUUGCUUAAUAUAAGGCCCUCAAGUUCCAUUCAUUAUGUUGCAAAUGGGGUGACUUUGUCUUCUCUGAGUAGUAUUCCAUUGUAUAUAUAUACCACAUCUUCUUUCUCCAUUCAUCAGUUGGUGGGCACCUGGGUUGCUUCCACAUCUUGGCUAUUGUGAAUAAUGCUGCAAUGAACACAGGGGUGCAUAAAUCUCUUUGAAUUGUUGACUUCAUGUUCUCUGGAUAAAUACCCAGUAGUGGAAUAGCUGGAUCAUAUGGUAUUUCUAUUUUUAGUUUUUUGAAAAAUCUCCAUACUGAAAACAGCCAUAGAGGUUGCACAGUUUGCAUUCCCACCAGCAGCAUCUAAGGGUUCCCUUUUCUCCACAUCCUCUCCAACAUUUGCUAUUUUUUGUCUUGUUAAUUAUAGCCUUUCUGACAGGUGUAAGGUGAUAUCUCACUUUUUUUAAUCCAGCCAGAAGAUGAGAGAAGAGGGAGAAGAUGGAAAAGAUUCCUACUUCUUAACCAUCUCAGCCAACAAGUUAUGUGUGCCAGAUUCCAUUAGUGAGAGCUAGUCAUAUGUCCCCACUGAAAUGAAAGGGGAAUUGAGAAAUGCCGUCCUUGACCACUGCCAAGAAGCUGCUGCCCAGUAAUUACCCUUCACCAUGGAAGGGGAGUGCAAAUCUUUGGUGAAAAGCCAAUCAUCACUACUGCAGCUGGAUAAUAAAAUAAGGGGGCUUUAAGUUCUGUUUUAACUCCAAUUUUCAUGACCCUCAACUUUUAUAAAGGUUCAGCACAAGAAAUAUCCACUGCAUUUAACUGCAAACUCUUCACAUUUCUAGAGUUUGAACACAUUCAACAUAAGCUCUUACACUAGACUCGAAGUGCUUGGAGGGCAAGAAUGUCCGCUGAACUCCGUCUGCCCAGAGCCUUGCACUCUCUCCUGCGCAUGGUAGCUGCCCAUUUGUUGAAUAAGUGAACUUGGCAUUAUGUUAUCGAGGGGUCCUUAUACAAAACCAACCUGAAUUCAUCCUUGAAUUCAAUGUCAGGGAUAUUUGUUCCUCAAGAUAAAUUUCUAUGCCUAUCUGCUCCUACCACAUUAAGCUAGUCAUGGUUCUGUGAGCAUGCAAUAUUGUGGUCCUUCGUACAGUUCCAGAUACAGCUUCCUCUUUCUAGAUUGCCCUAUCCCCAUACUCAUCUGGAAAACACCUUCGCCUCCCUCAAGAGUUGGCUGAAGAAUGCCCACCGCUCCUAAACACGACCUUACCCGAUUCUCCCAGCAGACUUAAGUACUUCUUCCCCAGUGUUUCCGUUAUACCCAUUACAACUCUUAUUCUAAUUUUGGGGAAUUAUAUAUUUAUCUUCUGCCUCUCCAUUAGAUUAUAAACCAUGUAAAGGCAGGAACCAUGGCUUUUCAUCUUUAUGUUGUCAACAUCUUGGCCACUGUCUGAUACAUCAGAGAUGCUCAAUUAGUAUUUGUUAAACAAAUUAUCAUUGCUUUAAUUUAUUUCAUACUAAAUAAAAACCGUUCUACAUUUGAAGAAUGAUAUGUCUCCCUCUCUCCCUCCCUUUCUCCCAAACACACAGUGGUCUUAUUUGUUGAAACAAAUCAGAGUAGAUAUUGAAAGCAGAAAAUCCUCAAUAUUGUAUUUAAGUUAGGAAACUUCUAAUUCCACUCAUAUCACAAUACCUACAUCUCUAAACACAAAAAUACAUUCUCUGCUGCAUUACAUUAUAGUUUCUUACUGACUUGGACCCCUAACUGACAUUAACCAGUAUUUUGUCUGUGUGAUGACCACUUUGGCAGAAGUAUUUUUAGUAGUUUGUAUUUGUACUGCACUAUUUAUAAAGCUCAAAGACUCACUUGCCUUCAAACUGAAAUCUUUAAGUUUUCAGAUAGGAGACAGGAAAAGAACCUAACAUUAAUUGAAUGCCUAUUGGGUCCUUGAUGCUUUACAUACUUUACUCCUCAAAAUCUUCCAUCAACCUUGUGCGAGAUAAGCAUUAUUAUCAUCAUUUAGACAUGAGCAAUCUAAGGCUAAGAAAGUAGAAAACAUAAAUAUGGAUUCAAAUUCAGAUACAUCACGUUCUGUGGUAGGCUGAAUAAUGGACCUCCAAGAUGUCCAUGUUCUAAUCUCCAGAACUUGUGAAUAUCACCUUAUAGGCAAAAGCCACUUUGUGCAUGUGAUCAAGGACCUUGAGAUGGGGAGAUUAUCCUGGAUUAUCUAGGUGGGCCCUAAAUGUAAUCAGAGAGUCCUUGUAGGAGGGAGGCAGAGUGAAUUUGACUACAGUAGAGGAGAAGGUAGCGUGACCAUGAAAGCAGAGAUUGGAGUGAGGCCUCCAAGGCCUGCCGGGGUGCUCAAAAUUGGAAGAGGUGAGGAAUGGAUUCUCCCCUGCAGCCUUCAGAAGGAACCAGCCCUACCGAUACCUAGAUUUUAGCUCUUUAAGACUUCUUUUGGACUUCUGACUUCCAGAACUGCAAGAAAAUCAGUUUGCCUUGUUUUGCAUUUGUAGAAUUUGUUGCAGCAGCAAUAGGAAACUGAUACAGGCUCCAAACUUAGAGAAACCCCAUAUACCAAUUCAGUGCAAUAAAAACUCAGUGCAUUCUUAAGACGGAGUACUUAAACAUCUCCCCAUCAGGGAAGCCAACAACUGGAGCCAUGUCAGACCAGAUAGAGGAGUUCCAAAUGUGAUCACCCUCCAAGAACACUUAAGCCACCAUCAGGACUAUUCCAAAGUAAAAUCUGGAAAUCUUUAGCCGAGUACUCCUGCACAUCCUCCCAGCUGGGAGGAAGGAGUUGUGUGAGGGCCAGUCCCUCAGGUAGCCAAGCCAUAAAACCUUGUAGAACUAAAUCAAAACUUUGAACCAAACCCACAAGCCUGAGGUGGCCAACACAAACCUCAGUAGAACUAAUUGUACUUCCAGUAGCAAAACACCUUUAAACAAGGGCCGUAUUACACUUCCAACUCUUGGGGCAAUGCGUUGCCUAUGUCCUACAGUAGCCCAAGACUGGAAUUUACCAGAGAAUGAGUAACUCAGAAAAAAAAAUCUUGCAAGCUCUGUUCCUAGCCCAGAUGGAAAAACAAGCUACUGGCUUUGGUGCAAUACAAACUCCAGACCUCAUGCCAGCAAUAGCCUCCUCCAGGAUUACAUUUGGCAUGAGAAUGGGAAUUAUAGUAGUUUGAAUUACACAGAGUUUCCAGUGCAAAAUAAGUACUACCAUGAACUGAAAGCAAGUUUGUUUAUAUCUUCUGUUGUUCAUUGAGACGAUUCUCACCGGCUUUCGAGGCUGCUGUCCAGUGUCACCCUCUCAGGGGAAGUGACUCAAGCAGGAAAUAACCACCAAGGCUGAGAGAAGACAGAAUCUUCUGAAUGAAAUUAGCUUUUGUUUUCCUACCCCCGUUUGAUCUUGCUGGAUAUUUCCGCAUGGAAAUUGGUCGGUAUUAGUCUUCUGAAAUGUUAAAAACGUUAAGACUCUGACGUAUAAACAGUAAGGUCGUCUGUAUGGUAAGCGACGUUUCCUUGAUGGAGGUGGGCUGUAAUCUGAUUGAGAACAAAAUAUAAAGAGCAGAAAUCUAAGGGGACUUUUACAGUAAAGAUUCAAAGAAGUGAAAAUAUUUUAGAGAAAUUCUUAAUGAAAAAACUAUUCUCAAAUUUUAAAAUCCCAUUAAUUCCCUCAUCCCUCUCCCCGAAUCUCCAACAUUGUGGGCAUAAGAAUUGUCCCAUGAACCAUACCUGAAAGCCUUCAAAUGAUCUUGACUAUGACUUUUAUUUCAGAUCAACUAUAGCAGAAAACAUCUCCAUAACACUCAUUAAAAUCGAGUCAAUAGAUAGUAAUUGAGCAUCAACAAUUUGUAAAAUGCUGUGGGAGAUACAACAAUCAAAGUCAGUUCCCUCUCGGGACUUAGCAUCUACUAAAGAGAAAGGACAUAAAUAUUUAAAAUACUAAAUAACAAAGUUUUAAAUAUGGAUUAAAAAAUAGAAACGCAUCACAAAGUAGUAUGUGAUCAGCCAACACAAGAUUCCAUAGGCAAUGGGGACCAGGAGGGUGUCAUGAAGAAGGAGAGCAUACUGAAACUUCAAGGCUAGAAGGAGACUAGGGAGUUCAGUUGUUUCCAUCAUGGUGUGGCGUGGCCGAAGCACAGUAGGUAACUGGUGUGAUGGAGAAGGACACAGGCAGUGGAGUCCACAGACCAAGUGUCAAACCCCAGCUUCACUACUUGCCAGGCAUCCGAUCUUGGCAAUUACUUAAACACUCUGAGUCUGCUUAUCUGCCUCUGAAAAUCUACCUACUUUCCUCUGUAUCUACCUCCCAAGAUUGCACUGAGGUAAAAAUGAGAAAUGUAUGUAAAUUUCUCAGCAGAUAGCAGAUGCUCAGUAAAUAUUAAAACCUUUUCCUUGGUGGUGGUGAUUUAGUCUUUAAUAAAAUUAUUUUCUGAGGUUCUCAUGACACCCUGUUAUUCUCUACAAUCCUAAACAUACAUUUUAUUUCAGAGGUCUCCUGUCCAGGCAGUGUCAUGGUGCUCCUGGGACUGCCCAAUAAGCUAUAGGUUUCCAGCUUGAUCGUCAUGGACAUCAUACAGAAAGUGACUCUCCCUUCAGAACUAGUUUUUGUUAAUUCCUGCCACUGCCACAGGACACAGAGAAGCUAAAUGUUCCCUCAAUUCUCUGAUGCACAUUUUCUACCUGAUAUUUCUGAAAUAUUAAUAUGGUUUAUAACUGACAUCCAAGGAAAUGCCAGAAAUAUCCUUUUUAAUAAAAUAUUGCUACUAAUAUAGUGGUUUGUUUUACAGUUAAUAGCCUCUUGGCAGUCAGGAAAUAUGGUCAUGGCAUUGGAGAGAAUGGAGUAUCCAUAGAAAACAGAGGUGGAUUCAAGUUUAGAGGCAAAAAGCCACAGACUUACUGCCACAGAACUGUACACUUAAAAAUUGUUAAAAUGGUAAACUUUAUGACAUACCUAUUUUAAUAAAAAUUUAAUAAAUAAAAAAAAUUUUAAGGCACAGACUAUGUAAUCAUUCCCCGGAUUAACAAGUUAAUAUUAUGCAAAAGAACCAGCAUUGUGUAGGGCGUAUUAAAGAUAAGCAAAGUCUUCCAUAGAACCAACUGGAUUCUCUGCCCUCCAAGCCUCUUCUUUGAGGAAGAGCAUAUGUAUAGCCUAAAACACCUUUACAAUUCACCACUCAAUGCUCUAUAGCAAGACAUGGUCGUUCCCACAUAGGUAGACCCGGAUGAGAAUGAAUAGAAACCCAUAGGAGAUGAUGGUGAACACUCAUCUCUUAGUCCUACCGGUCAAAGGUUAUCACCAGUUCACGUAGUUCAAAAGACCUAGAGAAUGGUGGAGGAACCUAUCGUGGAUUCUUCACAGUCUCAAGUGCUUUGUGGAUGGUUCUCUGGAGCAGAAUCAGUCGGGACAACAAAUAACUCCUUCUAGAAAGCCAAGCUGCCCCAUUCGCUGAGCCCUGCUAUUGUUUCCAAAAAGUGACCCAGGUCCUGGUAGUUCAGUAUUCCACAGUUGGUGCUGCUGGGUCAGAAGGGGUCCAAACAGGUGGCUAAUCCGUCCACACCUCACUUGAGGUGUGGUACCAUAUGAAAUGUUCAGGAUUGGGCAUUGCUUAGAAAACUUGGCACUCAAAGGGGCCAAUGACCAAGCCAGUCUUUGUAAGAAGACAUUUUGUUGUUGAAUGCAUGUACAGCCUCCAGCCCUGAAUCCUACUUUGUUCACAAAACAUCAGGCAAGCACUGGCGUAGCUGGGGAGAAGGCUGAGGGACAUCCACAGAGCAGCUCACCAUAUCCACUGUUUUACAGAGACUCGCCUCUGGAGUAGAUGCUCCUUGGGCAGCACUCAUGAGGGACACAUUCUGAAGCCUAGUUCAAGAGUAUCACCCACCUGACUCUUCCCAAACCUCCUUGCUGUCAGUCCUCAGGUCUUCUCUCCUUCCAGGCAAAAUGGACCACAAGGUGGACUGUUCAAAGUGCUGUCCACUGGGAGGAUCUCCCUUAUCCUCCAACCACAGGGAAUAUGGCUCUGCUGGGACCUCAGUGGUCCAUGUCCAACUGGUGUCAGCAGAGACAUCUGUAAACCAGACUCAAGCUUCCUCCCCCUUUCCCGAACGAAGCAAAUACUCCAUGAAGCCACAGGUGUGGCUGCUACAAGCACAAUGGAAAAAACAAUGAAAGCAACUGAAAUGUCUAGAAAUGGGGGUUCGUUAAAUAAAGUAUGCUGUAUAGAACAAAAUAAUAUACAUCUAUUUUAAAUGAUGCUAUGAAUACUCAGUGAGACUUUUUUUUUUCGCUGAUGGGUAUAGGAAAAAUUUGGUUGCUACAAUGUUUAGUGUGAAGAUACACAUUAGGAAACAAUGAUUAUCGCUGAGAUAUAAAAUUAUGAGGUGUUACUUUUCUUUUUUCCGCUUAUUUGCAUAUUUUAAAUUGUAUGCAUGAGCAUGUAUUAGUUUUGUCAUUUACUUUUAAAAGAAAAACCUUUUAGUAGACAAGAAACUGCCCACCUUCCCGACAACGUGUGUUUUGAGUAUCACUGAAGGGUCAUGCUAAGGUCACUGGAAUGAUUUAAAUGUUAUUGCUUGCUAUAGAACGUAUAAUAAGCAGGGGGAAAAAGUCAUUUUCUGCAGAAGAUUGCUUGUAGUUAUUUUUGAAGAGAUCUAAGGCAUCCAAAAGGGACUUUCUCAAUUUCUAUGUAACAAAUUCAGCUCUUAAUAAAAUGUUUAAUUCUCAUUAGCAGGUAAGUUUUUGAUACAAUAAAAGUAUAUCUUUAUAUGAUCAUCUCUUCUGCAAUCAAUAUGUAUGCUAUAUUUACAUCUAUUUUAUUAAGAUUUAGAAAAUAUGCUUACUUAUUUGAAUACUUUGUGUUUGCUUUUAUAACAUACUAUUGACCACAUCAAUAGCUUAUUUGUUUCAAAUUUCAAUUCUAACGUUGUUUCUAUCGAGAAAACACAAUCUACUCUGUAUUGAUCUACUUUAUGAUAGUGUCCAGGACAUGCUACAGAGGAAACUAUCUAAAUAAGAAUAUGCAAUGGACUCACCUUGGCCAGAUCCCCCUGAAGAUAGACUUACCUUUGUAUUCUUGUGUAAGGGUAUAAUUUGCAGUUCUGUUAUUAUAUCCAUCCAACUCAGGCAGGCUUUCCAACAAGUUGUUAGGCCCACAUGAACGCAUUUACAAAAUCAUCUUUGUCAUUUGGGCCAGAGAUUGAAAGGAGCGUGGUGCAAAUUCUAAAAAUAUUUUCUUCCAAAGUGUCGUUUUUGCGUUUGAUCUACAGUCUUAAUUAUCCUUCACAACGUACAUUCAGUUUCUUUUGGGAAGUGUUCUAGUUAUUUAUUUAAAGAGAAUUGCAACAUCACAAAGAAUGACACGAAAUUUAGUCAAGGUAUUUGUUUUCCUCCACAUCGUUAAUGGUUAUUUCUCUCCCACCCACGAGCACACACACUGCAGCCAGAAUAGGCAUUUUUCACACCCUCCCAUGUGACCACUCUCCUGCUAGGGGCCAUACAUUGAUAUACAUUCCGCUUCCACACUUAGAAAGAGAAAAAAAGAAAUGACUAUCACUCAGAUAAAAUGGAACUUUGUAAGUGAAAUGGUUUAAAAAUAAUUAGCUAGAUCAUUUCUUUCCUAGAAUAUGUAAUAUUCUAUUUGACCCAGAAUAAAGUGUGAUGCCUAUUUCUUAUUUUUCCAGGAGUCUAUCUCUAUUUCCAUUUGUCCAUAUGGAAUCAUCCUGAUUCUUCCCUCAGCAUCCUCUACUUCAUUCACAUGCAGAACUCUCAUUCAUUAUAGAGACUGACCUACUGGAAACUGUGGGAGGGUCUCCUGCCUCAUAAAAUCUGCCCCACUGGUCAGAAAUUCAUUUUGAGGAGUCUUAAGGGUUUUUUUCAGUCUUCAACAAUCUCAUGAAAAGAAGGGAGCAAAUCUUGUUCCCUAAAAACUGCUAACAUCCUGGAGGUGUGGGGACAGGCUGCAGUGCUGGGGGCAGGAGUCCAGGGAAGGAAGCAGAGGGAGAGGGAGAAGGAGCAGAAACCUUUUUGGAGGACAAAUUUAAUCUGACUUCAAAUACAAAAGCAUUGCUACAGGCUACUCAGUUUACUCUACUGCUGUUGAAGUCUUCUUUGUAUUCAUGUUCAAGGAAAAUGAUGACAAACAAAAAUACCAGAGUUAUAAUCUACACCACACUAGCGUCAGAGCUAAGAAAAAAAGAGGAAAAGUUAAACACUCUGGUGGAGGGCAGGGGGCAGGAAUGUGUUCUAUUUUACUGAACUAUGGCCGGGGUGUUUUGUUUUGAUUGUUCUCCACACUUCCUUCCCCAAUUGCACCACAUCCUUUACACUUAAAGCAGAAAUUUCUGAUCAAAAUGUUGCAGCAACUAAAAGGCCAAAAGAAGGGUCUUGAAGGACAGCUGUCUCAACCAUUGCACCAUGAAGCAAUCACCACAGCCCUGUGCCCAUGGAGAGCCUCACGUUUGGGAAGGAGGCACCACCAAAGAAGAAGCAAAACUCCACCCUUCUUCCUAACCUGUUCUCCCCAUUUGAAGCGCCCUACGACAAGUUAAAUACGGCCACAAAUUCUUUACCGCAACUCCCAUCAAAAAGUGGAAUCUAUUUCCCCACUGCCUUGAAUAUGGGCUGAUUUUGUGACAUGCUUUGACCAAUAAGAUGUGGCAGGAGUGACAUCCUAUGCCUUCCAAGCCUUGGCUUCCAGAAGCCCUGAAGCUUCCACUGUCACCCUCUUGAACACUGCUGCCGUGUGAACAAGCCCAUCUGUGAGGGUGAGAGAGACCACGUGGAGAAAGAGCCCCAGCAGUCCAGUCAUCACAGGAUCCUUCACCAAGGCCCCCAACUGUGAGCUGUGAGCGAGGCUGUCCAUGACCAGCGGGCC
ensembl:lncRNA